rnacentral:rRNA from 1 species
AGCGAACGCUGGCGGCAGGCCUAACACAUGCAAGUCGAACGAACCCUUCGGGGUUAGUGGCGGACGGGUGAGUAACACGUGGGAACGUGCCUUUAGGUUCGGAAUAACUCAGGGAAACUUGUGCUAAUACCGAAUGUGCCCUUCGGGGGAAAGAUUUAUCGCCUUUAGAGCGGCCCGCGUCUGAUUAGCUGGUUGGUGAGGUAAAGGCUCACCAAGGCUACGAUCAGUAGCUGGUCUGAGAGGAUGACCAGUCACAUUGGGACUGAGACACGGCCCAAACUCCUACGGGAGGCAGCAGUGGGGAAUCUUGCGCAAUGGGCGAAAGCCUGACGCAGCCAUGCCGCGUGGAUGAUGAAGGUCUUAGGAUUGUAAAAUCCUUUCACCGGUGAAGAUAAUGACUGUAGCCGGAGAAGAAGCCCCGGCUAACUUCGUGCCAGCCGCCGCCGUAAUAC